AUAACUUGUCCAAAACUGGUGUUCCUGGGCCACCAGGUGUGAGAGGAGAACAGGAAGCUUUUCAAAGAAGAUCUUUCAGAUUCUGAGACACAAGUAUGAACCACCUCAGAUUUUCAAGGAAGGAGUGACCAGAGGUUAUUGGAGGAGUACAGGAUGGAUGCUAGAGCUUCUCCAAUGGGCCCUGCAAAGCCCAGGCACCCCAGACUGAGAUGGAGCAGCCACACCUAUUGUGGUUCUUCAACAAGACAUUCCUAUCAUGAACUUCACUGAUAGCCAUCUUCGGCAGCUUAUUGGGACACUUUGUGGUUUUCUUAUUUACUGUUGUAAGUGAUGCUAAUCAGAUCUUUUCCCCCACUGUUGCCAGUUUAAAGAACCUUUGACAGCAUUUGGAUGCGUUACGGAGGAAACACCACUCUACUAUAUAUUUGAGAGAGAUUGGCCCUCUCAAGAACUCCACCAAAAAGAUAAGA